rnacentral:rRNA from 1 species
GGCAGCAGGCACGCAAAUUACCCAAUCCCGGCUCGGGGAGGUAGUGACGAAAAAUAACAAUACGGGACUCAUCCGAGGCCCCGUAAUUGGAAUGACUACAAUUUAAAUCCUUUAAGAAGGAUCCAUUGGAGGGCAAGUCUGGUGCCAGCAGCCGCGGUAAUUCCAGCUCCAAUAGCGUAUAUUAAAGUUGCUGCAGUUAAAAAGCUCGUAGUUGGAUCUCAGUUACAGUCAGGUGGUUCACUUUACAGUGCUACUGUCUGAACUGAACCUAUUGCUGGAUCUCUUGGGUGCCCUUCACUGGGUGCCCCUUGAGACCAGAACGUUUACUUUGAGAAAAUUAGAGUGCUCAAAGCAGGCGAAUGCCUGAAUACUUGUGCAUGGAAUAAUGAAAUAUGGCCUCGGUGCUGUUUUAUUGGUUUACAGUGCUCGAGGUAAUGGUUGAAAGGGACAGACGGGGGCAUUCGUAUUGCGACGUUAGAGGUGAAAUUCUUAGAUCGUCGCAAGACGGACUACUGCGAAAGCAUUUGCCAAGAAUGUUUUCAUUAAUCAAGAACGAAAGUCAGAGGUUCGAAGGCGAUCAGAUACCGCCCUAGUUCUGACCUUAAACGAUGCUAACUGGCGAUCCAGUGGGGGUAUUUAAAUGACCUGCUGGGCAGCUUCUGGGAAACCAAAGUUUUUGGGUUCCGGGGGAAGUAUGGUUGCAAAGCUGGAACUUAAAGGAAUUGACGGAAGGGCACCACCAGGAGUGGAGCCUGUGGCUUAAUUUGACUCAACACGGGAAACCUCACCAGGCCCAGACACUAGAAGGAUUGACAGAUUGAGAGCUCUUUCUUGAUUUGGUGGAUGGUGGUGCAUGGCCGUUCUUAGUUGGUGGAGUGAUUUGUCUGGUUAAUUCCGAUAACGAACGAGACUGUAGCCUACUAAAUAGGCGGCGGAUAUUUAAUAGUCCGCAAUGUCUUCUUAGAGGGACAAGGCAGCUUCAAGCUGCAUGAAAA